ACCCUUGACCUUAGUGGUGCUUGGAAUAUGACCCAGUGUUGUGCCUUGAUUAAUUACGUGAGCCAAUGACUUAAAUCUAUCCGUACUUAAGGGAGGAGCAUAUGAUAACCCAUGAGCACAUGCACACCCGAAAAUAUUCCUUAGAGCCUGAUAAAACAAGAAGAGGGUUAUACGUGUUAUUCAUUCCACUUCGUUCCUAUCUCCACCGGUUGAGAGAGAGAGAGAGAGAGUUCGGCAAGAGCAGGAAGUAGAAGAAGAAGAGGAGAAGGAGAGGGAAAUCAGAAGGAGCUUGUGAGUGGAUUAAUUGAAGAUUCAAUAGGGGACUUGUGUGAAAGCUUGGAUCGAGGAAUUAAAGAUUUAGAUGGCAUGGCACUUGUGUUGUGGAGUCGGAUCAUAUGAUUAUUUCAUGGAUAGGAGUUGUAUUCUGAUUACUUUAAAAUUAUGUAAUCAUUGUAAGUAGUUUGCUAAACCUUUUAAUUAAGCAUAGCUCUGAGGUGUAUUCAAGGAUUUUAGUCCUUUGUAAAUGUAGGUUGUCGUUAUAUAUUGGACUGCACAGGACAUGCUUCCAUUGAUUA